ACGCACCACCCGUGCACUGCGCUUGCUGCACGUCGUCCGCAUCCAGCUGGCGACUGUUCGCUUUGUGUCGCCAACC
rnacentral:sRNA from 1 species